AGAUUGAACGCUGGCGGCAUGCCUUACACAUGCAAGUCGAACGGCAGCACGGGAGCAAUCCUGGUGGCGAGUGGCGAACGGGUGAGUAAUAUAUCGGAACGUGCCCAGUCGUGGGGGAUAACGUAGAGAAAUUUACGCUAAUACCGCAUACGAUCCAAGGAUGAAAGCGGGGGGACCGUAAGGCCUCGCGCGACUGGAGCGGCUGAUAUCAGAUUAGCUUGUUGGUGAGGUAAAAGCUCACCAAGGCGACGAUCUGUAGCUGGUUUGAGAGAACGACCAGCCACACUGGGACUGAGACACGGCCCAGACUCCUACGGGAGGCAGCAGUGGGAAUUUUGGACAAUGGGCGAAAGCCUGAUCCAGCAAUGCGCGUGCAGGAGAAGGCCUCGGUGUAACUGCUUUGUACGUAGCGAAAGGUCUGCCUAAUACGGCGGACCCAUGACGGUACCGUAAGAAGUAACGCACCGGACUAACUACGUGCCAGCAGCCGUA
rnacentral:rRNA from 1 species